rnacentral:misc_RNA from 1 species
ACAUCGUCAAGGCGGAUUCCGACCACAUGCUUUCCAAUGUCCGCUCCACAUGUGACCUCGCCGACCAUGUCAGCGCCAAGGUUCGGGAGCUUGACCUUGCCCAAUCGCGGGUUAAUACUACGCUUCUACGCAUUGAUGCGAUUGUGGAAAGAGGGAAUUGCAUCGAGGGGGUGAAAAACGCUCUCGAAGCAGAGGAUUACGAGGCGGCCUCGAAGUGUGUGCAGACAUUUCUGCAGAUUGAUGCGAAAUAUAAGGAUUCCGGAUCGGACCAGAGAGAUCAGUUGCUAGCGUCGAAGAAGCAGCUGGAAGGAAUAGUGAGGAAGCGGCUUUCAGCUGCAGUGGAUCAGCGGGACCAUCCAACAAUUCUAAGGUUUGUUAGGUUGUAUUCGCCUUUAGGACUCGAG